rnacentral:rRNA from 1 species
CCUACGGGAGGCAGCAGUGAGGAAUAUUGGUCAAUGGACGCAAGUCUGAACCAGCCAUGCCGCGUGCAGGAAGACGGUUCUAUGAGUUGUAAACUGCUUUUGUACGAGGGUAAACGCAGAUACGCGUAUCUGUCUGAAAGUAUCGUACGAAUAAGGAUCGGCUAACUCCGUGCCAGCAGCCGCGGUAAUACGGAGGAUUCAAGCGUUAUCCGGAUUUAUUGGGUUUAAAGGGUGCGUAGGCGGUCGGAUAAGUUAGAGGUGAAAUCCCGAGGCUCAACUUCGGAAUUGCCUUUGAUACUGUUCAGCUAGAGAGUAGGAGCGGUAGGCGGAAUGUAUGGUGUAGCGGUGAAAUGCUUAGAGAUCAUACAGAACACCGAUUGCGAAGGCAGCUUACCAGGCUACUUCUGACGUUGAGGCACGAAAGCGUGGGGAGCAAACAGGAUUAGAUACCCCAGUAGUC